rnacentral:rRNA from 1 species
GGACUACCCGGGUAUCUAAUCCUGUUUGAUCCCCACACUUUCGUGCCUCAGCGUCAAAUAUAGCUUAGCGGGCUGCCUGCGCUAUCGAUAUUCUGUGUGAUAUCUAAGCAUUUCACCGCUACACCACACAUUCCACCCACUUCAACUACUUUCUAGCUAUGCAGUAUCAACGGCACAUUUACAGUUGAGCUGCAAAAUUUCACCGCUGACUUACAUAACCGCCUACGCACCCUUUAAACCCAAUAAAUCCGGAUAACGCUUGCAUCCCCCGUAUUACCGCGGCUGCUGGCAC